CACACUGCUUCAGAGGCCUAAAAGCACCCGAGGCUCCGCGUCACCAUCCAUGGAGCAGGAACAGCGGACAGGGAUGUCCCUUGCAGGCGCAGGUGUGGGAGACACAGCCCGUCUCCAGCCUCCUGGACACAGGGGAGCUGUGGAGGCUCCUGACCCUGAGGAGCAUCAGUAGGCUGUCCAGCACCCCCUUGGGGUCUCUCCCAGUUCCCAUGCUCAACAUUCAUUCAUCCAACAGUCAUGUUCUCAGCUCCAACUGUGUGUUGGACCUGGAGCUCCUAUUCCUGCCCAGACCUUCAGAUUUCAUGCCCUGGUGAAAUUUCCAGGAACUUAAAGAAACUGGCCUAGAGUGAGCGGUUUUAAAAGUUGCCAAGAAAAGCCAUUUACUCACAACAGCUGCCAUCUUGUUGCCCCCAUCCGUUUAUCUGAGAAAGAACCUUUUAGCAUCUUAAUCUCAGGGUAAAGAAUGGCCCUCAAAAAUGACUUAAUUUAGCUUAAUAAAAAACUUGCAAAUUAA